CCCCGGCCGCGGGGACCCGGGGACGCCGCCCGCCGCCCGCCGCCCGCCCGGCUCGGCGCCCUCUCUCCAGCCACACCGCGCAGAAAUUUAGGUCAAGGACGUCGCGAUCAGACCCAAACCCCGGCGCCCCUCUGCGGGCCCGAGACGCCCCCGCCCCCCGCCGCCCGGCCUCGGGGAGCCCCAGGAUUGCGGAGACCCUCCCGCACCCGCGGCAGCCACAAGUUUUUAUUUCCCUUUGGCGCUGGAAGUUCUCUCCGCUCUCGCUCCACACCGGCACGUCCUGCGCCACCCCCCGCCCUCCCCGGCGGAGGAUUAGGACACAAUGGAACACACUCAACACCAAAACUAUACCAAAUCCAGUGUGGGUCGUGGAAAAGUGGAAUAUUUGGAAAAUCCCAACACUACCCAAAGCCUUGGAUGACCAGAUUGUUAAUCUCCCUGCCUCUUAUUUUUGGGAUAAUUCCUCACUAACAGGAUUGAUGGGGUGAAAGGAGAGAUUGAAGUCUGAAGCAAAUCUCAGUGAAGAUGAAUUAACACUAAGAGAGAAAGUCAUGGAUUACCUUGAUGCUUCCACAGACCAAGCCAGUCAUCCUUCACAGGGGAGAUGGGGAAUGAGGUGUGGGUGUACCCAAUGUCAGGAAGGAUUAUCACAGAAGACCAGAUCUCAGGGAUGACAAUCACAACAACAAGAGUAAUUUAGGUUCUGAGAUAUAUUUCAUCACAGGUUGACGAAGCCCUUGACAGCAAAAUUAAAUCUGACAUCACUCUUUGGGUUGACAAACGCUGUCACAGUCUCCCGAUAGAGUGAGCUCAGACACUUGAGGGCUCUCUCUCCCGGAGGGUUAGUGUCACCUUCUUCCUUUCAGGCUAAUGGUACCUCAGCCAGCUCUGAAAGUGCUUGGACCUCUGGAAGACCCUCAUCAUGAGAGACUAAAGCAAGCCCUGGAGAAAAUGGAGUUACAGGAGCUCAGUCAAGCCAUGGGCUCAGAUACCAUCAUUGGGUUUAACUCCCUGGCAUCUCCUCUUCCUUCUCCUCCCAACCAGGUUCAGAAAGAACUUUUACUUACCCUCCUAUCUUCCGUGUAAAGGUCAGACUUCAGAAUCAGCACGUUAAGUCAAUUAGACCACCAACAUCCUUUUAAAGGAAUGUAAAAUCUGACAUUAAGAUCAUCACAAGAAGUCAUAGAUUUUUCUCUCCGUGGGCGAGGACAAUUUGCCACUUUCAGGCAGCAGAGGCAUAAGAGCAUUAUCAUUCAUGACAUACGCAAGCAGGAUGUAAAUAACCGCAAUGUUUAGCUCCCUGGCCCAUGGUCAGUUCACCUUCUUCCACAAUAAAAGUGACCAUGACACUCA
rnacentral:lncRNA from 1 species